rnacentral:rRNA from 1 species
GAGUGGACGCAUCACUGGUGUUCGGGUUGUCAUGCCAAUGGCACUGCCCGGUAGCUAAAUGCGGAAAAGAUAAGUGCUGAAAGCAUCUAAGCACGAAACUUGCCCCGAGAUGAGUUCUCCCUGACUCUUUAAGAGUCCUGAAGGAACGUUGAAGACGACGACGUUGAUAGGUCGGGUGUGUAAGCGCAGCGAUGCGUUGAGCUAACCGAUACUAAUGAACCGUGAGGCUUAACCUUACAACGCCGAAGGUGUUU